rnacentral:rRNA from 1 species
AAACGUAGGGGGCGAGCGUUGUCCGGAAUUACUGGGCGUAAAGGGUGCGUAGGCGGCCGCUUAAGUCCUGUGUGAAAGGCCCCGGCUUAACCGGGGAGGGUCACGGGAAACUGGGCGGCUUGAGUGCCGGAGAGGGUGGCGGAAUUCCCGGUGUAGCGGUGAAAUGCGUAGAGAUCGGGAGGAACACCAGUGGCGAAGGCGGCCACCUGGACGGUAACUGACGCUGAGGCACGACAGCUGGGGGAGCAAACAGGAUUAGAUACCCUGGUAGUCCCAGCCGUAAACGAUGAGUGCUAGGUGUUGCGGGUAUCGACCCCUGCAGUGCCGUAGUUAACGCAAUAAGCACUCCGCCUGGGGAGUACGGCCGCAAGGCUGAA